GUAGGGAAUAUUGCGCAAUGGGGGAAACCCUGACGCAGCGACGCCGCGUGAGUGAUGAAGGCCUUCGGGUCGUAAAGCUCUGUUGCAGGGGAAUAAAAAAAUGAAGGUACCCUGUGAGGAAGGAUCGGCUAACUUCGUGCCAGCAGCCGCGGUAAGACGAGGGAUCCUAGCGUUGCUCGGAAUCAUUGGGCGUAAAGAGGGCGUAGGUGGCUUGGUAAGUCAGGUGUGAAAGCCCAGGGCUCAACCCGGGAAGUGCAUUUGGUACUGCUGAGCUUGAGUGUCGGAGAGGUUACCGGAAUACCUGGUGUAGUGGUGAAAUACGUAGAUAUCAGGUGGAACACCGGAGGCGAAGGCGGGUAACUGGACGAACACUGACACUGAGGCCCGAAAGCGUGGGGAUCAAACAGGAUUAGAAACCCUAGUAGUCC
rnacentral:rRNA from 1 species